CCUACGGGAGGCAGCAGUGGGGAAUAUUGCACAAUGGGGGAAACCCCGAUGCAGCGACGCCGCGUGAGUGAAGAAGUAUUUCGGUACGUAAAGCUCUAUCAGCAGGGAAGAAAUAAAGUCCUUCGGACUUUGGACGGUACCUGACUAAGAAGCCCCGGCUAACUACGUGCCAGCAGCCGCGGUAAUACGUAGGUGGCAAGCGUUAUCCGGAUUUAUUGGGCGUAAAGGGAGCGCAGGCGGUGCGGCAAGUCUGAUGUGAAAGCCCGGGGCUCAACCCCGGGACUGCAUUGGAAACUACCGAACUA
rnacentral:rRNA from 1 species